AUUGAACGCUGGCGGCAGGCUUAACACAUGCAAGUCGAGCGAGCGGCGGACGGGUGAGUAAUGUCUGGGAAACUGCCUGAUGGAGGGGGAUAACUACUGGAAACGGUAGCUAAUACCGCAUACCAUCAGAUGUGCCCAGAUGGGAUUAGCUAGUAGGUGGGGUAAUGGCUCACCUUGGCGACGAUCCCUAGCUGGUCUGAGAGGAUGACCAGCCACACUGGAAGUGAGACACGGGCCAGUCUCCUACGGGAGGCAGCAGUGGGGAAUAUUGCAAAAUGGGCGCAAGCCUGAUGCAGCCAAGCCGCGUGUGUGAAGAAGGCCUUCGGGUUGGAAAGCACUUUCAGCGAGGAGGCGUUACUCGCAGAAGAAGCACCGGCUAACUCCGUGCCAGCAGCCGCGGUAAUUC
rnacentral:rRNA from 1 species